UUGCAUGGAUCCACAAGUGGUUGUUUCGGCGCUCUUCUCUCUGUAUACAUGACGAUCUUGUGUGCGCAAGUGUCUCUCUGCAUUUGACGUGUGUGGUCACAACAAAUAACCUGUCUCUUGUGUAAGUAUUUUUCUCUCUCAUCGUCACUUUAUUGAUGCUGCUAAGUGACUUACCGAGAGAUAUACCGAGCGAAAAUCUGUUGUGAUUUUAUCAACUGCGACAAACGGAUACAUUUACACGGAGUGUACGCGAUCACAUGUAUGGUGCACCGAUGGCAGUUUGUUGCUUUUCCA